CUCGCGCUGCAGGCGCACCGCGGCUCGUGCCAGAAUGAAGAUGGCUUCCUGUCCCGCUAGCGUCACGUCGGGAUCUGCCUUCACCAAGGCCUUCACUCGCGCCAGAGGCAACCUCGAGAGACGAGCCCCAGGCACACUCGUUGGGGCCUGGGGCUGCGAGGCCGCUGCCUCCCCAGCAGAGCAAUACAAGCAGCUGAGCGUCAGAGAUACAAGCAGCUGAGCGUCAGGGACACAAGAAGCUGGGCAUUGAGGAUACAAGCAGCUGAGCAUCAGGGAUACAAAUGGCUGAGCAGAGAAGCAACUGAGCAUCUAAGACUACAGACAGAUGUGGCUAACUUCAGACAGGGUCCCAGGCCUAAAGAGCAACCAUACUGUGGGACAUUCUCUUCUCAUGGCAGACAGCAGAAGAUCAAGAGGGACGAACCAAAAUAUGCCUUGUCUCAUAACCUUGUGCUUAGAACUGGCACUUUGUCGCUUCCACCCAUGUUCCACGGAUCAAAGCAACAAUUAAGGCCAAGCCCCACAUCAGUGGAGCAGGGGUGCACGUGUCCCUUCAGGGAGAAUGGGCAAGUCACACCAUGGGCAGGGCUGUGUCACCCUAUUACAGGGGGAAACUAGGAGUUGGGAACAACAGUUCUUUCUACCACAGAUUUAGAGUGUACUCUUUUGAGGAACUUGAUGGUAAAAGUAAACAGAGCAGUAACUAAAGGAAGAUAAGAAGCCAACUAUGGCUUCCAUUUUGUUUUAUUUUUCAGGUAGGAGACAUUUGAGUAAGUUUAUAUAUU
rnacentral:lncRNA from 1 species